rnacentral:rRNA from 1 species
CAGCCGCCGCGGUAAAACGAAGGGUGCGAGCGUUAAUCGGAAUUACUGGGCGUAAAGCGUACGCAGGCGGUCUGUUAAGUCAGAUGUGAAAUCCCCGGGCUUAACCCGGGAACUGCAUUUGAAACUGGCAGGCUAGAGUCUCGUAGAGGGGGGUAGAAUUCCAGGUGUAGCGGUGAAAUGCGUAGAGAUCUGGAGGAAUACCGGUGGCGAAGGCGGCCCCCUGGACGAAGACUGACGCUCAGGUACGAAAGCGUGGGGAGCAAACAGGAUUAGAUACCCCCGUAGUACCUGUCUCUUAUAC